UACAGAGGGUGCGAGCGUUAAUCGGAAUUACUGGGCGUAAAGCGUGCGUAGACGGUUACAUAAGUCGGGUGUGAAAGCCCCGGGCUCAACCUGGGAAUUGCAUUCGAGACUGCGUAGCUAGGGUGCGGAAGAGGGAAGCGGAAUUUCCGGUGUAGCGGUGAAAUGCGUAGAUAUCGGAAGGAACACCAGUGGCGAAAAGCGGCUUCCUGGUCCAGCACCGACGUUCAGGCACGAAAGCGUGGGGAGCAAACAGG
rnacentral:rRNA from 1 species